rnacentral:rRNA from 1 species
AACGAACGCUGGCGGCGCGUCUUAACCAUGCAAGUCGAGCGGCAGGCAGCAAUGCCGAGAGCGGCGGACUGGUGAGUAACACGUGGAUAACGUACCCCGAUGUCCGGGACAGCCUGUAGAAAUAGAGGGUAAUACCGGAUAGAUCACUGUUUACGUGAGGUAGACAGCGGGAAAGGAGCUUCGGCUCCGCGACGGGAUCGGUCUGCGGCCCAUCAGCUGGACGGCGGGGUAAAGGCCCGCCGUGGCGAGGACGGGUAUCCGGCCUGAGAGGGCGGACGGACACAUUGGGACUGAGAUACGGCCCAGACUCCUACGGGAGGCAGCAGGUAAGAAUAUUCCGCAAUGGGGGGAACCCUGACGGAGCGACGCCGCGUGAACGAAGAAGGCCGGAAGGUUGUAAAGUUCUUUUCUGUCCGAGGAAUAAGUUUCGGAGGAAAUGCCGGGAAGGUGACGGUAGGGCAGGAAUAAGCACCGGCUAAUUACGUG